UACGUAGGGUGCAAGCGUUAUCGGAAUUACUGGGCGUAAAGCGUGCGCAGGCGGUUGUGCAAGACAGAUGUGAAAUCCCCGGGCUCAACCUGGGAACUGCAUUUGUGACUGCACGGCUGGAGUGCGGCAGAGGGGAUGGAAUUCCGCGUGUAGCAGUGAAAUGCGUAGAGAUGUGGAGGAACACCGAUGGCGAAGGCAGCCCCUGGCUAACACUGACGCUCAUGCACGAAAGCGUGGGGAGCAAACAGG
rnacentral:rRNA from 1 species